UGGGGAAUAUUGGACAAUGGGGGCAACCCUGAUCCAGCCAUGCCGCGUGAGUAAAGAAGGCCUUCGGGUUGUAAACUCCUGUCGAGUGGGAAGAAUAGUUUCCGGGCGAAUAUCCCGGGAGCCUGACGGUACCACUAAAGGAAGCCCCGGCUAACUCCGUGCCAGCAGCCGCGGUAAUACGGGGGGGGCAAGCGUUGUUCGGAAUUACUGGGCGUAAAGGGCUCGUAGGCGGCCAACUAAGUCGGAUGUGAAAUCCCCAGGCUCAACCUGGGAACUGCAUCCGAUACUGGAUGGCUUGAAUUCGGGAGAGGGAUGCAGAAUUCCAGGUGUAGCGGUGAAAUGCGUAGAUAUCUGGAGGAACACCGGUGGCGAAGGCGGCAUCCUGGACCGACAUUGACGCUGAGGCGCGAAAGCCAGGGGAGCAAA
rnacentral:rRNA from 1 species